GCUUUGUGGGUAUAGAUUGUAAGAAAGACAAAGAAUCCAUCUGCUUUUUGCUUGUCUAGAAUAAACCUUUGACAUGUGCAAAAGCUAUUUUAUUGCUGGCCUGGUACAAAAAUUCUGAACCAGCUUCAAGGGCCAAAAAGGUGAUUAUAGUCUUUAAAGCAGAAUUAAUUCUUAAACUGUUCCCAAAAUAUGCCUGACAAACUAACCUAAGCCAGACGAGUUGGCUGUGCUCAUGGUAAAAGGAAACCUCUGUGCAGAGGAAACAGCCCUGCUUUGCUUUUCCAGAAGAAUAUCUGCAUUUGAAAGAAAUAAUUUAUUGGGAAAUAUGUACAGUACAGUAAAAUAGCAAAAUGAGACAUUCAAUGAGGCUUCUAUAUAAAGCUGUGCCCUUUGCCUCUAGUGGAUAAUGAAUACAAAUGAUAUAAAGAAGCAAUGAACAUUCAAUGUUUUAUAUUUUAAAUACAUUUGUGUGGAAAACAAUGUGGCACAGAAAAAGGACUGAAGGGUUCUCCAAGAUAAUGCCAGAAGCUGUGAGAUGUUAGCAGCUGUCGUAUAAGUUUCAAGGUGUAGGUUUUUAAUUUUCUCUUACGAAUUGCAGAAACAGUCGUGAAAACUGUCAUUAAAAUUCAUGGCAAGGAAAGUAAACUUACAUUAAAACCUACCCUGUUCUUCUCUGAAUUCUUGGUACUGACUAGGAAGUGUCUGCUUCUCAGCCAAAACCUUACCUACACAAUCUGAUUUAGUCUCUAGGCUCUGUUAAACUGGAGUUUUCAUAUAUCACAUCCUUAAAUCCAGAGUACAAAGGAAAAAGAAACUUAAAGAUUGCAACCUAGAUUUUCAAACCAGCAAGUCAUGAUGUUAAGAGGUUUCAUUUGCCAUAUUUUUUUGGAAUGAAAAGAGAAGAAAAAGCAGAGCAAAUAUGAAGAGAUUUGUUUAUAAGUAAAGAAAAAUAAAUAAGCCUCCUCUCCCUUCCUCCUAGGUAUAGAUAUGCAUUUAUUAUAUGUAUAUGUGUAUGUAUAUGUACACACACUUAGGUAUUGCUACUUUUAAUCUAAAAACAAGUUUACCAGCUUAUUUCUAGCCUCUCCCUGAAGGAGUCAGUAUUUACAGCAACGUAUGCAUGAGAGGAUGCCAGUAUAAAUGGUGAGCACCUGGUCCACGAGUGGUUGGAUGUGCAGAGCCACUGAGCCCAGCAAACAAAACGAGGAGACAGCUCUCAGAGCAGCAUUUCCUCAUGCUGCCUCUUGCUCCCAUGCCUGCAUGCCUGUGCCCCAAAGCCUUGGUGCCCCAAUAGCUUGACCCACAUGAGUCCCUCCUGCAGAAGAGCCCCAGAGCAGGAAGACACCAUAACUGCAGUGCUUGGAAGCAAGAGCAAGAAAGAAAUUAUUUUGCACUUGAAGACCAGAGUUCUCCAAGAUCUUUACAAACACAACAAGUGGGAGAGACCCUUGUUGAUCUCCUGUAUUGGGGGGAGCACUGACUGAACACAAAAAAUCACUGGUACUCCAAAAAGCAAGAUGGGGCUUCUUUGCUGCUCACCUUCUGUUUGGCAUGAGCACGGUAACCAGUCUCCACUGGGUGACAGCCACCUGUGACUGUGCUGGGGGACUGAGCUGAGAGAAGGAGGGAUCUCACAUGGACAUCUCUGGGCACCUUUGAUUCAAACGUGCAAGAGCACUUGGAAGAGAAAGCCACUGCUUUCAUGUUUUCAGCAGGUGAAAGGUAAAAAUAUUUCUUAGAGCACCCAAGAUUGAGGUGAGUGGUGGUGAGGAGCAUGGGGACCUCUGCUCUGCCUGCAAUGGGUCUAGUAUUUCUGUGUUGUGUGAUGUAAAAUGGGGUGAAUUGCGAUCACUAUGGCUUUCCCAAACUACCUGUAGCCCUUAGGGAUAGCACUGUGUGGCAAGUGCUAGGAUAUAUCUAUAUACAUUUGGUUAAAUGUGUAAGGAAGAGGCUUAUAUAUGGUAUAUUACCAUGUGUUUCUCUGCUGCUGCCACAGCAACUUUUGAACCAUUUCAUCAGAAAUACAAAGCUCCUGCAAGAGUUCUAAAAACAGCUGGGGUGAUAGAGGGACCAUGUUAGUGCCACCAUGGCAGAAAAAGCCUCAGCUUGACCUUUAUUAUACAUCCAUGAAUCCAGCCACAUGCUAAGCACCUCUAGGACAGCUGCAUCCCAUUGCUCACACAACUAAUUGCUUCAUUGAUUUUCAUUUCUGGUGGCCGCAGUAGGAGGAGCCCAGCUCUUCUCAUCAAAGACUGCAGUUUCAUACUGCUCUUUUCUAGCGUUGUCCCUGCUCUCACUUGGCUUCCUUGCUGAGCACUUUCAGCUCCCCCUUCCCAGCUCUGCCUGUGCCCUGCUCCCUACAGAGAGCCAUGGGCUCCUCUACCAGCUGUCUUCUCACUUUCCAGGGAGACACCUCUUCUCCUUCACACUUUGCUAGCAGUGUGGUAUCUAGGCCCCCUCUCUCAUUAGUCACCCACAACAUCCUCUCUCAACUGUUGAUGCUUUAUAGCUUAUCCCUCCAUCCCCCCCAAUAUGCAAUUCCUAUCACAAAAAAAAAACAACUUAGGAAUGAGACAAAUAAAUAUGUAUUAUUUCAAUAGGAGCCUUACAAACAAAAAGCUUUUGCAACAACUUCCCAGUCAGAACAACAGAGACUAUAGUAGGACAGAAAAACCGAAGAAACAUCAGCUGUAAAAUAUAUUUAAAAGCCUUUAUUCUUUCCUAUCAUAAUGUGGCAAAAGAAACUAAAUACAGGUUUCCAUUUGUUUAACUAA